CUACGGGCUGCUCCAGUGAGGAAUAUUGCACAAUGGGGGGAACCCUGAUGCAGCAACGCCGCGUGGAGGAUGACGCAUUUCGGUGUGUAAACUCCUUUUAUAUGUCAAGAAAAUGACGGUAGCAUAUGAAUAAGCACAGGCUAACUCCGUGCCAGCAGCCGCGGUAAUACGGAGGGUGGCAAGCGUUACUCGGAAUCACUGGGCGUAAAGGACGCGUAGGCGGGUUGGAAAGUCAGGUGUGAAAUCCUACAGCUUAACUGUAGGACUGCACUUGAAACUUCUAAUCUAGAGUAUGGGAGGGGGAGAUGGAAUUAGUGGUGUAGGGGUAAAAUCCGUAGAUAUCACUAGGAAUACCUAAAGCGAAGGCGAUCUCCUGGAACAUUACUGACGCUAAGGCGUGAAAGCGUGGGGAGCAAACAGGAUUAGAUACCCGCGUAGUC
rnacentral:rRNA from 1 species